AUGGUGUACAGGGGACGCAGGACUUGUGAAUGUAGUUCUACCGCAGACAGUUCAUCGCUCUCUAUAUGGUAUAUUGUGUAUAUAGAAUCAUCUGUACAGGGACGCAGGACUUCUGAAUGUAGUUCUAUAGCCGACAGUUCAUCGCUCUCUAUAUCGUAUAUUUGUAUAUACAAUCAUGGUGUACAGGGACGCAGGACUUCUAAAUGUAGUUCUAUAGCCGACAGUUCAUCGCUCUCUAUAUCGUAUAUUUGUAUAUACAAUAAUGGUGUACAGGGACGCAGGACUUCUAAAUGUAGUUCUAUAGCCGACAGUUCAUCGCUCUCUAUAUCGUAUAUUUGUAUAUACAAUAAUGGUGUACAGGGACGCAGGACUUCUAAAUGUAGUUCUAUAGCCGACAGUUCAUCGCUCUCUAUAUCGUAUAUUUGUAUAUACAAUAAUGGUGUACAGGGACGCAGGACUUCUAAAUGUAGUUCUAUAGCCGACAGUUCAUCGCUCUCUAUAUCGUAUAUUUGUAUAUACAAUAAUGGUGUACAGGGACGCAGGACUUCUAAAUGUAGUUCUAUAGCCGACAGUUCAUCACUCUCUAUAUGGUAUAUGUGUAUAUACAAUCAUGGUGUACAGGGACGCAGGACUUCUAAAUGUAGUUCUAUAGCCGACAGUUCAUCACUCUCUAUAUGGUAUAUGUGUAUAUACAAUCAUGGUGUACAGGGACGCAGGACUUCUAAAUGUAGUUCUAUAGCCGACAGUUCAUCGCUCUCUAUAUCGUAUAUGUGUAUAUACAAUAAUGGUGUACAGGGACGCAGGACUUCUAAAUGUAGUUCUAUAGCCGACAGUUCAUCGCUCUCUAUAUCGUAUAUGUGUAUAUCCCCCCCCGCGGCUGUGGGGUGGAAAAGCAAGAGAGCCCUUCCUUCCAAGCCCUGCAGGACGACCUCUGCCAUGGCUGGCAGAGCCUACACUUCUGCGGGCCAAGCCGCUUCAGCACUACACACCAUGGCCAUAUUGCAAGUGUUCCAGGCAAAGCUUCUCCGUUGCCUGGAUGAGUCUAGCCCUAGUGAACCUGCUUUU
rnacentral:lncRNA from 1 species